rnacentral:rRNA from 1 species
UUGUAAAACACUUUCAGCAAGGGAAAAAAUUAUAUAAAUAAUACUUAUAUUAACUGAUAUUACCUGCAAAAGAAGUACCGGCUAACUCCGUGCCAGCAGCCGCGGUAAUACGGAGGGUACAAGCGUUAAUCGGAAUUAUUGGGCGUAAAGAGUACGUAGGUGGUAUAUUAAGUCAGAUGUGAAAUACUUAAGCUUAACUUAAGAACUGCAUUUGAAACUAAUAAACUAGAGUUUUAUAGAGGGGAGUAGAAUUCCAAGUGUAGCGGUGAAAUGCGUAGAUAUUUGGAGGAAUACCAGAGGCGAAGGCGACUCCCUGGGUAAUAACUGACACUGAGGUACGAAAGCUUGGGGAGCAAACAGGAUUAGAUACCCUGGUAGUCCAUGCUGUAAACGAUGUCAAUUUGAAGAUUGUAAUAUUAUUAUUUUUUAUAAUUUUCGUAGCUAACGCAUUAAAUUGACCGCCUGGGGAUUACGACCGCAAGGUUAAAACUCAAAUGAAUUGACGGGGACCCGCACAAGCGGUGGAGCAUGUGAUUUAAUUCGAUACAACGCGAAAACCUUACUACUCUUGACAUCUAUAAGUACUACAGC